UACAGAGGGUGCAAGCGUUGCUCGGAAUCAUUGGGCGUAAAGGGUGAGUAGGUGGUCUCGUUUGUCUAAGGUGAAAUCCUUGAGCUUAACUCAAGAAGUGCCUUGGAAACGGCGAGACUAGAGUCCUGGAGAGGGUCGUGGAAUUCCCGGUGUAGCGGUGAAAUGCGUAGAGAUCGGGAGGAACACCAGAGGCGAAGGCGGCGACCUGGACAGGUACUGACACUGAAUCACGAAAGCGUGGGUAGCAAACAGG
rnacentral:rRNA from 1 species